rnacentral:rRNA from 1 species
UUAUGCGAUACUUGGUGUGAAUUGCAGAAUCCCGUGAACCAUCGAGUCUUUGAACGCAAGUUGCGCCCGAGGCCUUUUGGUCGAGGGCACAUCUGCUUGGGCGUUAAACAACUCGCCUCCCGCCGCCUUCCCCCUGCAGACUCGAGCGAGGGGCCUGUCGGAGAUGAGGGUAGGUGGGACGGAGUCUGGUCGUCCGUGUGCCUGCAGCGCAUGCGGUUGGCUGAAAAGCCUGGGCCAUGGGCUGCGUGCGGCUCAGCGAGUGGUGGUUGUGCGCCCUCGCAAGGCGGCGAUCGUCGGCGCGUUGUGCCGUUCGCUCCCCGAUUGCCCGGCAAGUACCCGACACGAUCGAAACAUCCAAUCCACGGAUCGAUUCGAAUUUGCAACCCCAAGUCAGGUGGGACUACCCGCCGAGCUUAAGCAUAUCAAUAAGCGGAGGAA